UAUGAGCUGUCAUGCAAAUGACACCUGCUCACUUACAUGUCAGAAUGGCCGAAUAGGGUGUACAGAUUCUCCAUCCAUACUAGCAAGGGUCGAUUAUUAGAGUCAGCUGUUGAUAAGACUUCAGGCAAUAAGGGAUAUCCAAACUCGUCCAUUUCAACUACACUCGAACCUAUGAGGCCCAGGAAAGAAAAACAAAAGUUUAAGGAACUGGAGAGGAACCCCAGCACUUGCCUAGCAUCAAAGCCAUGGCCAACACAGCAGCGAAGAAAAGUCCGUGCUUGUACCCAUCUAUUCACCCUGGCUGAUGACAGCAUUGGAGCUGGGAAGGAGAUUUGGCCUCUUUAUGCCAACAAGUCAAACAGCUCUGGGCUUCCCUGGUGGCACAGUGGUUAAGAAUCCGCCUGCUAAUGCAGGGGACACGGGUUCGAGCCCCGGUCCGGGAAGAUCCCCCAUGCCACGGAGCAACUAAGCCCGUGCACCACAACUACUGAGCCUGCGCUCUAGAGCCCAUGAGCCACAACUACUGAGCCCGCGUGCCACAACUACUGAAGCCCGUGUGCCUAGAUCCCAUGCUCCGCAGCAAGAGAAGCCACCGCAAUGAGAAGCCCGCGCACCGUGACGUAGAGUAGCCCCCACUCGCCACAGCUAGAGAAAAGCCUGCGUGCAGCAACGAAGACCCAAUGCAGCCAAAAAUAAAUAAAAUUGAAAAAAAAAAACGGCUCUGGCAAUAUAUAUGCAGCUACUAAUUGAUCAAAUAAUUGGUUUCUCAGUCCCAAUUAAUAUAUUCAAUUGGGAGCAGUUUCAACUGGCAACGA